rnacentral:lncRNA from 1 species
GGGGGCUCCAGGCCUCCCUGUUCCUGCUCAUCACAGCCUCACAUCUUGGCUGUCAGUCCCUGAGCAGCCAGAAAGAUCAGGAGUAGGGUGAACACAGCAGAGAUGGCCAGGACAGUGGAGACUUGUUUACUGUCACCAUUGGGAACCUCUGAAGGUGCUUUAAAAGGGUGGGGCCAAAAGCUGGGGGCAGAGUCAGAACAGCUGGGGCAGCAGUAAGUCUCUGACCCCUCCCCACCCAGUGAUUUUGGGAAGUUUUUCUGCUUGGCUCCUCAGACCCAGCUUGCCCCUCUGUCCUGGAAAUGAGCCUCAAUUAAUUUCUCCCAAGAAGGUGGGACAUCUGGCUCCACUGGACAGAUGGAGGGUCUUUGCCUGUAAGGAAUUGACAGAAAUGCA